UACAGAGGGUGCGAGCGUUGUUCGGAAUUGCUGGGCGUAAAGAGCGUGUAGGCGGUCUAGCAAGUCAGAUGUGAAAGCCCGGGGCCUAACUCCGGAAGUGCAUUUGAAACUGCUAGGCUUGAGUGAUGUAGAGGUUAGCGGAAUACCCAGUGUAGAGGUGAAAUUCGUAGAUAUUGGGUAGAACACCGGUGGCGAAGGCGGCCAAACUGGGCAUUAACUGACGGCUGAGACGCGAAAGCGUGGGGAGCAAACAGG
rnacentral:rRNA from 1 species